rnacentral:tmRNA from 1 species
CUGUCAGAAUGAAUACGUCCACCAGUGGUGGACUAGGUGAUCCACACCAGUGUUUCGGACAGCGGUUCGAUUCCGCUCAGCUCCAUUCUCCGGCCCGAUCCAGGGCCAUCCCGGGGCUGCCAUGGUUUCGACGGGGCAUGAGGAGGGUGACUGAAGCCUGCUCGGUGAGAGCAAACCCGUAACAGCGAACAACAUCGUUCGUUUCUCCCGUCAGCCCGCCCCUGUGCUGGCCUGACCUUCUAAGGGAGAUGGGGUGAGGUCAGCCUUAUCACCCAAAUGACCCAUGGGGCCUGGAAGGGCCC